UUCAGGUCUCUCUGCCCGUCCUCUCCGUGUCCGUGGUGCUGCAGCUCAUCGAGCGCUCGCUGCUGUCCACCGCUGCAAACUUCACCCUCCUAUUGAGCUGGACGUGAGCCGGCGUCUUUGUUCCUUUGUUGUCCACCACUGGCAGUGCCGUGCUCACCUGGACAGCUUCUCGUCUGAAUGCUGAUGAAACCGGACGCCAGAGGCAGAUUUCAAAGAACAGUUCAACAUGCUGCUCAACAAUUCAGGACACCAUGUCCUCUGAUUUCAGCUGCUGUGUGUGUGAGUGUGUGUGUGUGUGUGCAGAAUUAAUUGAGCAUGUUUUGCCUCUGAGUGGGUGUGUGUUUUCUCCUCUUGCUGUGAUGAAAAGCCGCGGGGAAUCAUUUAUUGUGAGGUCUGCUUGUUAUUCUCUUCAGAGCAGAGGAUGGCUUUAGAGUAGAAAAUGAAGACAGAGUUUUUCUAUUGAUUAUUCUGCGUCUCUGUUAUCUUUCUAAACGCAGUCUGAUGGUUUCAUGCGGUACACGUCUUGAUGUGAGAGUCGGGGUCAGAGAUGGAGUGUGAUCUGAUCUCUCUGUUGAUGCAGCUCCUCCAGCAGAUCUGUCCGUCUUCAUCCUGACAACCUGUCACUCUGAAUCAGCCUGCAAACA